CUUGGAGGAAACAGAGCCGGCUAGCAAUCCAGUGUGAAAGCUACUAACCGCGCGGAGUUUAUCACAGGCCUGUCCUCCCGCGACCCCACUCAAGAUGUGAAAGUGUGCCCUAUUCGGAGAAGCUCCUCAGAAAGACACUAUGGGGAAAGGGAGGCAGUCAUACAUGGAGUAAUGGAGAUUUGAUUUGAACUUUAUCAGGAAAGAAGGAAGGAAAAGGGAGAAGGAAGACAGACCCUGCAGGGCUGUGGAGCAUGGACUGGGCCGCAGUGAGGAGACCAGGACUCUCUGGGAGACAUUUAGGAAACGACUAAAGCAAGGUGGAUUCCAUCAUGUCAUCUGCAAAUAAUAAAGAUCUCCCUAAGUUACUGAAGACCUCGCUAAAUGGCUGAGACUGGCCUGGAACUUGUGAUCCUCCUGUCUCAGGCUCCCAAGUCUCUGGAAUUACAAGUAUGUGCCAUCACACCCAGCUCCCUUGGGCUUGCUAUAUGUUCCAUCAGAAUAGUGACCUAAACAUGAUUGGAGUGUGGGUCAUGGAAAUCAGCUGGCAUAUCUGUUACAUAGCGGCCUAGAGCACUUGAGGACUUUUUUCUUGGAUUUCCUCUCAAAACUGCAGCCUUUCAGGUAACUGAAAUUAUCUUUCAGGUAAAUGGGCAGAUAUAAGACACCCAAACAUGGGGUAUGUUGCCUCAGAAUUCCAAGAAGGCAGCCAAAUACUAUAUUUCAACUAAUCUAAGAUGUCUUCAGUUGUAAAGUACACUACUGAUAUUCCACUGUGAAUAAUUUUUUUAAAUGCUGUCAAUAAAACCAUGAUAUGCCAUUGAUCGUGGGAUACACUGGCAUAUUAAAACGGGGGGGAUGAUGACAACCUUAUAAAUGCACUAAAUGCCACUGAAUUUUUCACUUUAAAAUGGUUAAUUUUACAUUGUAUAUAUUUCAUCUCAAUAAAUAACUUAUGUCCUUUAGAAUCAAUGAUAUUU